AUCCGGAUGGCGAGUCUCAAAUAGGACGAAACGCGCGUCCUGGAU
rnacentral:hammerhead_ribozyme from 1 species